UACGAAGGGAGCGAGCGUUGUUUCGGAAUCACUGGGCUUAAAGCGUGCGUAGGCGGAUUGGUAAGUAAGAAGUGAAAUCCCAGGGCUUAACCCCUGGAACUGCUUUUUUAGACUGCCUGUCUGGAAUUCGGUAGAGGUUGGUGGAACUCCUAGUGUAGAGGUGAAAUUCGCAGAUAUUAGGAAGAACACCGGUGGCGAAGGCGACCAACUGGACCGAUAUUGACGCUGAGGCACGAAAGCGUGGGUAGCAACAGG
rnacentral:rRNA from 1 species